rfam:Polaribacter irgensii 23-P scf_1099646005584 genomic scaffold, whole genome shotgun sequence.
GCGCACGUGGCGAAAUUGGUAGACGCGCAGCCUUGAGGGGGCUGUGAACGCAAGUUCGUGGAAGUUCGAGUCUUCUCGUGCGCA